GGUGGUAGUCCCACCAACAUCGGCUAGCAAGAGCUGGUGUUAAAUCGGCUCCAGCUGCGUUAUUUAAGAGAUAUCGUGGUGAGCGUGGAGUGAAAAGGCAAUGUUUAAAUUGUCAGA
rnacentral:ncRNA from 1 species